CCAAAAGCUUAAAGGAGGGGAAAGGAGAUUCAGGGUCAUUGAUAGAUCCCGACGCCGGUGAGCAGUUGCUACACCGGCGCCGAGAAGCAAAGUGAGACGGUGAAAUCAUUGUCGACACUAUUGCAUUAGAGGCAAGGAAAAUACAGGUCAUGUAGAGGAAACCCAGUUGCUGAAACAAAGAUAUGGCAUUUCAAAUUAGUUUUUGUUAUUUCAUACAAUUACGACUCGAGUAGCUAGUGCUUAAGAGUAGACAUGAG